UCGAACGGAACUGUUUUGAAGAUUUCUUCGGAAUGAAUUUAAUUUACUUUAGUGGCGGACGGGUGAGUAACGCGUGAGUAACCUGCCUUCAAGAGGGGGAUAACAUUCUGAAAAGAAUGCUAAUACCGCAUGACAUAUCGGAACCACAUGGUUUUGAUAUCAAAGAUUUUAUCGCUUGAAGAUGGACUCGCGUCCGAUUAGUUAGUUGGUGAGGUAACGGCUCACCAAGACCGCGAUCGGUAGCCGGACUGAGAGGUUGAACGGCCACAUUGGGACUGAGACACGGCCCAGACUCCUACGGGAGGCAGCAGUGGGGGAUAUUGCGCAAUGGGGGCAACCCUGACGCAGCAACGCCGCGUGAAGGAUGAAGGUUUUCGGAUUGUAAACUUCUUUUAUUAAGGACGAAAAAUGACGGUACUUAAUGAAUAAGCUCCGGCUAACUACGUGCCAGCAGCCGCGGUAAUACGUAGGGAGCAAGCGUUGUCCGGAUUUACUGGGUGUAAAGGGUGCGUAGGCGGCUUUGCAAGUCAGAUGUGAAAUCUAUGGGCUCAACCCAUAAACUGCAUUUGAAACUGUAGAGCUUGAGUGAAGUAGAGGC
rnacentral:rRNA from 1 species